GCUUUCCUUUUUGACAAUACCCACCCGGUGGUACGAGCCAAUUCGGGCUAGGCAGUCAUUCUAAGAAAAGCGAGAACGCUAAACGAGGGCAGAACAAGAAUCCAUGAGAGACCCCAUGCCCACAUCAGGUUCCAUAUCCAUGAUCCCAACCGAAACUCAAUGGUCCACACCACCAGCGCAAGCGUUGACGAUGUGGUUUAAAGAGCCGGCUUCAAGGUCCAUCUCAUGCCAUGUAGAUGACACAAAACGAAUGCGACUUCGAUCAAUCGGGACAAUACCGUCAAUUAGGUAGGCAGCACAGGAAACCCACAUUCUGCUUAGGCGAUACAAGCCUAGCCAGACAACUGAAGAGGUAAGCCAGGUGAAAGUUGUU
rnacentral:misc_RNA from 1 species